UGAGUUUACGCUCUACAACCCUUUGUGAACAUACCUAUAACUGUUGCUUCGGCGGGUAGGGUCUCCGUGACCCUCCCGGCCUCCCGCCCCCGGGCGGGUCGGCGCCCGCCGGAGGAUAACCAAACUCUGAUUUAACGACGUUUCUUCUGAGUGGUACAAGCAAAUAAUCAAAACUUUUAACAACGGAUCUCUUGGUUCUGGCAUCGAUGAAGAACGCAGCGAAAUGCGAUAAGUAAUGUGAAUUGCAGAAUUCAGUGAAUCAUCGAAUCUUUGAACGCACAUUGCGCCCGCCAGCAUUCUGGCGGGCAUGCCUGUUCGAGCGUCAUUUCAACCCUCAAGCUCUGCUUGGUGUUGGGGCCCUACAGCUGAUGUAGGCCCUCAAAGGUAGUGGCGGACCCUCCCGGAGCCUCCUUUGCGUAGUAACUUUACGUCUCGCACUGGGAUCCGGAGGGACUCUUGCCGUAAAACCCCCAAUUUUCCAAAGGUUGACCUCGGAUCAGGUAGGAAUACCCGCUGAACUUAAGCAUAUCAAUAAGCGGAGGAAAAGAAACCAACAGGGAUUGCCUCAGUAACGGCGAGUGAAGCGGCAACAGCUCAAAUUUGAAAUCUGGCCCUAGGCCCGAGUUGUAAUUUGCAGAGGAUGCUUUUGGUGCGGUGCCUUCCAAGUUCCCUAGAACGGGACGCCAGAGAGGGUGAGAGCCCCGUACAGUUGGACACCAAGCCUUUGUAAAGCUCCUUCGACGAGUCGAGUAGUUUGGGAAUGCUGCUCAAAAUGGGAGGUAUAUUUCUUCUAAAGCUAAAUACCGGCCAGAGACCGAUAGCGCACAAGUAGAGUGAUCGAAAGAUGAAAAGCACUUUGAAAAGAGGGUUAAACAGCACGUGAAAUUGUUAAAAGGGAAGCGCUUGUGACCAGACUUGCGUCCGGUGAAUCACCCAGCUCUCGCGGCUGGGGCACUUCGCCGGCUCAGGCCAGCAUCAGCUCGCUGUCGGGGACAAAAGCUUCAGGAACGUAGCUCUCUUCGGGGAGUGUUAUAGCCUGUUGCAUAAUACCCUUCGGCGGGCUGAGGUACGCGUCCG
rnacentral:rRNA from 1 species